rnacentral:rRNA from 1 species
UACGAAGGGGGCUAGCGUUGCUCGGAAUCACUGGGCGUAAAGCGCACGUAGGCGGCUUUUUAAGUCAGGGGUGAAAUCCUGGAGCUCAACUCCAGAACUGCCUUUGAUACUGAGAAGCUUGAGUCCGGGAGAGGUGAGUGGAACUGCGAGUGUAGAGGUGAAAUUCGUAGAUAUUCGCAAGAACACCAGUGGCGAAGGCGGCUCACUGGCCCGGUACUGACGCUGAGGCGCGAAAGCGAGGGGAGCAAACGGG